ensembl:lncRNA
UUUUUUUUUUUUUUUUAGGGCUGCUUCCAUGGCAUAUGGAAGUUCCCAGGCUAGGGGUCUAAUUGGAGCUACAGCUGUUGGCCUAGGCCACAGUCACAUGGGAUCCAAGUCACAUCUGUGACCUACACCACAGCUCAAGGAAACACCAGAUCCUUAUCCCACUGGGCCUUGCCAGGGAUGGAACCCACAACCUCAUGGUUCCUAGUUGGAUUUGUUUGUGCUGCGAUACUAUGGGAACUCCAGAAGGGCUAAUUCUUUGAGGGGCUUUAGAGGACAAUAUGUUUCUUUGCAUUUUCUAGAAUUUUAGCUUCCAGCUCCUAGAGGACCCCAGUGUUUCUUAGCAUGUGGUCACUUCCUCCAUCUUCCAAACAUCAAAUUCCAAUCUCUGUGUCAGUUUUCACAUGGCCUUCUUUUCUAACUCCAAUUCCUCCUGUAUUCUUAUUAUAAGGACAGUCAUGAUUAGGCCUGGAUAAUCCAGGGUAAUCUUCCUAUCUCAAUACCUUCACUUAAUUACAUUAGCAAAAUUCAUUUUUCUAUAUAUACAUGAACAUUCACAGAUUUCUGAGAUUAGGGCAUGGACAUAUCCAAGGGACAUUAUUCAGCCUGCCUAAGGAUUGAAUAAAAUGCCAUAUAAAAAUGCUGCACACCAAGUACCAGACACUCUACUGAUGGUAGGGCAGAUGCAGAUAUUGCUAUAUGUAUGGUAGCCACCAUAACCUAGUAAAAUUCACCUGGCUUUGCAGGGCCCAGAAGUAUUCACAAUGGAAAGGAAUUAUAGUACCUCAGCAUAAUUAAAAUAUCUAAGGACAGUAUAAAUCUGUGAGAUUCUUCAUAGAAGGUGAUGUUUCAUUUGAUAUACCAUCUUGGCUGGGAGGGAUAGACAGUUUCGGGGUCUUCCACCAAGACUUUCCUACCAUAGCAGCCCUUGCUCACCAGAAAAAGUAACCAAUUGGGGCAGCUACUAAGUAAAUCUAUGUCAGUUAUACAUUCAGAAUAUAAGAAAAUAACCAUAAACCAGAACCUAAUAUGAGAUAGACUUGAAUCAAAUUCUAUUUAAUAUCUGGCUUUUUCACAACCCAACUCUAACUGGAAGAGUGUGAAGAUAUUUCAAUUCUCCUGAUAUUAGUGUUACAACCCUUAUUUAAUAAUCCUCACAGGUUCUAGGCAUCUCCUUGUCCUUUCAUGCAUCGUGACCCUAUCUUAGGUCUCUGUGGGAAGGAUCAGAGGGGUAUUUACCCCAUCUCUUGCAAUGAUGUUGAAGGGUCCUUACUGGUGGGGCAGAACUUUUCCUUUAAUCAAAAAGCCACAUGAUUGGAGUUCCCCAGUGGCUCAGUUGGUUAAGGAUCCAGUGUUGUUUCUGCUGUGACUCAGGUGGCUUCUGUGGCAUGGGUUCAACCUGCAGGCAAAGACAUUCUGAUUGCUACUCCAGCCUUCCUACCUAUCAUAAUAAUUAUAUCAGGUACUCAAUCCUUGCCUCUGAUGGUCAAGUGCUGCCACAUAGCCUCAGUCAUUCUGGAAUCACAUCAUCAGCAUUGAUACUGGGGAAUUCAUUUGGAUGUUAACAUCUCCCACUGUCAAGUCUAGCCUAGAGAGGACAACUGCCACUGAACUUCUCCAACAUGCAGGAGCUGCUCUUCCACAAUGCAUUUCAUACUGCCUUAGUGCAGAGAUUUCUCAAUGUGCAAAACUCAGAGCAGUCACAUUGAUAGUACCUGGGAACCUAAUAGAAAUGUAAAUUUUACACCCCUGAAUUUGAUGGUAUACUUAAUCAGACUUUGGUUAUGGCCUCCAGAAAUUGAAGUUUAACAGGUCCUGCUAAAGAUUCUGUGCAGGGUUAAGUUUGAAAACCACUGACUUAAUGAAAGGAGUAUCCUCUGGGACGUGAUUUGUUCCAAUAUUUCCACUGCCCUGAGUCUUCUGAUUCCAUCCUUAAUAUUCAACAAAGGCAUCUCUAUCUCAUUAGUGUGCAGAAGCUUUAAGGAGCUACUCUUCAAAUUUUUACUUUUUAUUUGCACACACACACAUACACACAAAAAUGAGCACAAGUGAAACUGAAGAAAUCUGAGAUCAACGGGUCACAUUAAUAUCAAUUUUUUUAUUUUAGCAUUAUUAUUUUGCAAGUAGUUACCACUAGGGUAAUUGGGAAAAGCAUAUAUGGGACAACUCUGUAUUAUUUCUUACAACUGCAUGUGAACCUAUUGCAAUUAUCUCCCUAUCAUCUGUCUAUAUAUCUGUAUGUCUGUCUAUUUGGCUGGCUGGCUGGGUGUCUAUCUAUCUAUCUAUCUAUCUAUCUAUCUAUCUAUCUAUCUAUCUAUCUAUCUAUCUAUCUAUAUUUUGUAUUCUUACCAGCAUUAAAUAAGUGAUCCAGUUUCUUUUUAUCUUCAUCAGCACUUGAUGUUGUCACUAUUUUUUAUUUUAGCCAUCCAGUAUAUAGAGAUAUCCUAUUGUGGGGUUUUGUUUGUUUAUUUUGUAUUUCCCUGAUGGCUAAUGAAGUUGAAAAUAAUUUCAUGUCCUUAUUUAACAUAUGCAUACCCAUUCAAUUAAUUGUCUUUUCAUGUCUUUUGAAAAUUUUCUAAUUUGGAUAGUUUAAUUUUUUACUCUGAGUUGUGAAUGUUCUCCUAAAUACAAACCCUUUGUCAGGUAUAUCCUUUGCAAGUAUUUUCUCCCAGUUUGUAUUUUGUCUUGUCAUACCCUUCGGAUAGACUUUUCCAGAGCAAACAUUUUUAAUUUCAAUGCAGUCUAGUCUGUCAUCUUUUCUUUUAUGGAUCAUGCUUUUGGUGUCAAGUCUAAAAACUCAGUUAAUUUUUGAAUAAGGUAUGAGGUAUAGGUUAAGGUUCAUUUUCUUGCCUAUGCAUAUCCAAAUGUUCCGGCACCACCUGUUAAAAAAGACUUCCUACAAUGAAUUGCUUUUGCACCUUGUCAAAAUCAGUUAAGCUUAUUUUUGUGGGUCUAUUUCUGGGUUCUUUGUUCCAUACCGUUGAUCUAUGCCGGUAUUGCACUGUCUUGAUUACUGUAACCAUAAGUCUUAAAGUGGGUAAUUUUAUUAUUUUCAUUAAGAUUGGUUGAGCUAUUCUAGGACCUAUGCCUUUUCACAUAAAUUAAUACAAUAGGUUUUUUUUCUGUAUCCACAAAAAACCUUUGCUAAGAUUUUGAUGGGCAUUUAAUUAAACCUAUAAAUCAAUUUGUGGAGAACUGUCAUCUUUACAACUGGAAUUGUCUUCCAAUCCAUGGACACAAUAUGUCUCUCCAUUUUAUAUCUUCUUUGAUUUCUAUCAUCAGCAUAUUAUAAUUUAACAUUCAGGUCUUAUAUAUAUUUUGGUAAGUGUCUAUCUGGGUGUUUUGUUUUCUUUGGAGUAAUCAUAAAUGGCACUAUAUUUUUAAUUUCAUUUUAGCACAUUCAUUUUAGUAUAUUGAAGAUAUGAAUUCUUUUCACAUGUUAAUCUUAUAUCCUGCAGUCUUGUUGACCUAAUUUGUUAGUUCUUGUAGGAUUUAUUAGGGAGUGGCAGAUUAUACAGUUUUUCUAUGUAGACAGUCAUGCAGCUGCAAAUAGGAACAACUUUCUUAUCUAUAUGUCUAUUAUUGUCCUUUUUGCCUUAUUUUGUUUGCCAGAGCUUCAGGGGCUAUGUAAAACAGUAAAGGUGAAAGCAGAUAUCUAUGUCUUAUCUUCAGUCUUAGGGGAAAGACUUCAGUCUUUCAUCAUUAAGUAUGAUAUUAAUUAUACAUUUUUGGUAAAUGCCCUUUAUCAAGUUGAACUAAUUCUCCAUUUCUAACUUCCUCAGAGUUUUUAUUACGAAUGGAUGUAGGAUUGUGUCAAAUGCUUCUGUAUCAAUUGUAUGUGUUCCUAUGACUUUUCAUAUUUGACCUGUUGACAGGGUGGGUGCAUACAUAAAACUUUUAGAACCUUCUCCUGGGGUCUUUAACAGAACAUUCAACUCAGGGUCUUGUAUAGGUGCUUCUAUGUCAAUAAAAUGCUCCCAUAAUGGGUUUUAAAUAUUGUCUCUACCCCAAUCUUACCUAGUCAAGAUGGGCUCCCAUAGAGAUUCUUUUGGUUCUUAUUCAAACACAUCAGGAGGGUCCUGCAAAUCCUUUCACAUGUAGGGUAUGUUGUCCUGGAGAAAGGUGGUAGUUUCCUAAUCCAGCUGUGUUAAAACCUAACUGUGGCUAUUGGUCUGGAGGCAAUGCAGGGUAAGGAGGAGGCCUUGGGGAGGAUAUGUGAUAUCUUGCAAGGCUUUUUCUUUGGUCAAUAAGAGUUGCAUGUUUCUAGGCAAGAAGAGUCUGUUCUCUUGAGGCAAGUGAAAGGAGGGUUACUUCUGUUAGUUUGAAGAAUCCAGGGGACUUUGAGGAUUAAAGAUUCUCAGGCAUGUCCAUGCAAAUGUCCAUAUCCCAUCUUUCAUGGUCAAAUCUUCUUCUAUCAAGGCCCUGAAUCUCAAAGGGGAUUUAUUGAAGGGGAACAUUCAUGUUUAUUUACAGCUCUGCUAUCCUUUUAGUAGAUUCUGUAUAACUUUCAGUAUCUUAUGCCUUAUAGUUACAGAAGAUGCAAGUUUCAUUAAAAACUGUUAUAAAGACAUUCCAGGUCUCAUGAAAUGAAUUAAGGUAGCAGUAAACUGCCUUUAUCAUUUUCUGUUGUCAAGGCUACCAGUGUUAACAAAAGCCAUAAUACUCUACAAUCCUUAUAAUUGCCAUUGUAUUCAUUCUGAUCCAUCACUUCAGCCACUGUAUAACUCAUGUUUCACCUUCCACCUGCAUCACAUCUGAACUAUGCACAGGUGAAGGCCAUGGAGACAAUGGUGCCACAACAGACAGCAUACCCAUCCCAUCCUGGUACCAUUAUCUUAGUGUGAGUUCUCUAGAAAGAAAGAUGAAUGCCUAUGUGCCACUAAUUUAUUGGGAAGAUAAAUAUCAGGGGAGAAGGAGGGAAGUUACGGAAAAUGUUGUGUGACAGAGAAGGAUGGAUAAGCCAUAUGAGGGUGUAUCAUUGACCACUACUUGCCAUCAAAAGCAACUGACUUUUCUAAGUUGGGAGACUCUUAUUUUCCAAGAAGACUACUGAGAAAUCUUAUAAAAUGACUGUAUCACAGGAAAAUCAACCAAGUGAGAGGGAGGAGGACAAAUUCACUGACUCCCAUUCCUAAAUGGUCAUAGGCUCAUUCUAUGUGGCAUUAAAUUCCCUAUAUUUCAGGACUGUCACACCUGGACACUGAUCAGGUCCUAUGAUACCAAAUAGCCCAGUGAUUAUUAGGAAGCUCUGGGAUGGGAGGUAAAAGAUGAGCAGCACAGGUACAAGCUAAGGUGGUGUUGCACCGUGCCACUGUGAUGUUGGCUGGAGCCAAUGCAGUUACUCAUUGCAGAGGCAACUAGAGUGAAAUCAGUAUGAGAGGGCUCUGGAGAUGACUGGGGCUGAGCAGAUCCAAAGCAACAUUUUAGAGGUACAAAAACACUAGCUCAGAGGGCUGAUUUAAGAAUUGUAUGAGUUAUGGAGUUCCCGUUGUGGCUCAGUGGUUAAUGAAUCCAAUUAGGAACCAUGAGGUUGUGGGUUCAAUCCCUGACCUUGCUCGGUGGGUUAAGGAUCUGGUGUUGCCCUGAGCUGUGGUGUAGGUUGCAGACGUCGCUCGGAUCUCGCAUUGCUGUGGCUCUGGCAUAGGCUGGUGGCAACAGCGCCAAUUGGACCCCUAGCCUGGGAACCUCUGUACACCACAGGAGCUGCCUUAGAAAUGGCAAAAAGCCAAAAAAAAAAAAAAAAAAAGAAUUGUAUGAGUUAAUAUCAUAAUACCCUUAAUACUACGGGAAUAAAACAGUCAGUGCUCAAUAAAUUGCACCUAUGUCUAUAAUCAUUAGUAAUAAUGAUACAAUUGACAUUUUUACACCAUCCACAGGCAUCCACAGCCAUCACCUACAUGGGAAGUAAUCAGCAACAUAACAUGCAGCCAUGUCACACAAAUGUUUCACUUUGAGCACCUUGUCUUCAACAAUUACCUUUUUUAUCUAUUACCAUUUUUUUAUGUUUGAUCUUGUCUUCCAUCUCAUCUCUGUUACCUGGAAUUACUUUCAGUUUCUCCACUUGAGACCAAAACAGUGUCCUCUGUUUCAACUGAAUUUAUUCUCAGUCUUGAAUUCCAAACAUCAAUGUUCUCCUUUCUACUACAUUUCACAUUGUUGCUAAUAUAUACAAAGUGCAGGGAACAUGUCUGGCACGUAGUCAUCUUAAACUACCCUUAUCCUCCUCCUCAUCUUCUUCCUU